rnacentral:lncRNA from 1 species
GUGCGCCCAUGUGGACAGACAGUGGGAAACAAUAUCUGUCAGGGAGGGGGCGGAACAGGGUUUUUCUCCGGCUCUCAGCGUGUCAGCCGUUCCCAUAGUUACGAACGGGGGCGGGGUUUCUAGCAGCGUAAGGACUUUGCAGGAGCCACUGGGUUCUCCCUAGAGCAUGAAGUUGUGGCUGUAACUGGCUUGUGUUUAUGAUUACAUCUGCAAUACUCAAGAGGAAAUAGAUGCUCUGCGAAAUGGAACUCGGCAAUAUUUCCUUUUGAGAUCUUGGGGGCCGGCCGCAUCGGGACUUUAAUGAAUGACUUGGAAUCUUCUAACCUCCAGGUUUUUGAUCCCCGCCUCUCCCAGGUUUCAGAAUUCCCAGACUAUGCUUUGAGGUUUAUGAAUGAUGUUUGAGCAGAACACUCAUCAGAUGGAUGGGACAGACCCAACUGUCAGCAGUGUCCGA